AGGGUUUAGUUCUUCAAAUUAAACAAAGGGGAAAAAAAUGCUCCCCAUUUUUGUCAGAGCCCAGAUGAUUUCUCUUUUUCCGUUCAUCAUUUGGGGCUGAGGGGGACGUAACUCAGUUAAAGACAGAAACAUUAAACGCGCAGUAAAACCAUCACACGUGCAGGAUUGAUAGGGGUAUUGAUUAACGCCAUCAGUAAAGUAUUUACCUUAAUCAAUAGGAAAAGGUGAUUUAAAUGUUUAGGUGUCUACCGCGCUUGAGUCGGCCAAGGCUUCCUUAGGAGCAUGAUUUCAUGUGAUGCACGCCUCCCUUCGCCCGUGUGCGCCCCUUAGCAAAGUUAAUUGCCACGGCUGAAGCCCCCUCUCCACACCACCAUGGUUGCUUUUGAGUCCUGUUGCAGGUUGGGUUCUCCUGGAGGAGAUUCUGAGCUGGAGUUUUGGGUGCAAGAUGUUUGGUUAAGAAUCGGCGUCUGUGAGGGAAUGGGAGGAAAUGAGUGGGCAGAGGAAGAAGUUGAAGGGUGAGGCAGCCCCACAAAGACACGGUCAAGGGACUGGAGCUCUGGAGCCAGAGGUGCCCCUCAGUGGGCAUCAGGCCCUUGUACCCCUACCCCACCCAGUUGCCCGCCUCCCCAGGAAGGGCAUGACCUUGGGCGAGGGGUCUCUCUGCCGCUCAGGCAGACGCUGAAGGAGCUGAGAGCUGGAAGCUGCCUGCAGACCCCACUUCCCACAGCUGGGCAGCCAGGCCUCCCCGGAAGGGAGGUCUGGGAAGCAUAUUCCCCAGUCGGCCACAACCCCAGAGGGUAUCCAAACGCCAUCACAUGCUAACCCUGACUGCUGGGAGGCUUUGUUCAAAGGAGGCGGUCCAUCAGGGGCUGUUUGAAACCAAGGUUGACUAUUUCUCCUAAUGCACUCUGGACCCAUUGGGACUCUGCGGUGACGUGGUUGAGGUGUAGAAACUUCUAGUCAUUUAGGGAUAUUGGAAAAGACACUUGGCCAGGAGGUCGCCUGAAUUCUAGCCCCACGUUAGAACCUUCUUUCUGAGUGUCACUUUCUCAGGCCCCUUCCCUGUGCUGGGCUUCAGACUCCACAUCUUACAAAAAGGGUAUGUUGCCUUAGAAGCGUGUUGCCCGACUUUCCCAGCCACUGGAAUGCCCUGUGGAACAUUUAUUUAAAUUCAGGUUCCAGACCCCUACCUGAAAUCUCCGGGGAAGCAGCCUAGGAGUCUGGCUUUUUCAUCAGAGCCACAGAUGAUCCUUAUGACCUGCUGAUUGUGAAAGUGGACUAGGAGCCCCUCAGCCAGACCAGCUGUGUCGGGUUCACCAGGAAAAGUUCGCAAGGUGGAGAUCCUCCAGCCCCGUGCCGGAAGAUUUUGAUUCAAAUUCUGCAUUUAAAUAUAAACAGCAAUGAUGAUAAUCAAUAGAACAGAUCAAUUGCAUUCCUGGCCCUAAUUCUUCCCUUGUAACCCCGCCCUUCUCACGUGACUUUGAUUUCCCAAAACUGUAGAGUAUAUUUCCCUCCCCGCAAUGUGACACGUUUGGCCGAUAGAAGAGGUGGGUAGGAGAGACUGUGCAUCAGUUCCAGUCCUUGGCCUCCAGAGGCCUGGCCUAUUUCUACCUACUCAUUUGUGCUCCUGUCAUCGCCACGAGAAGUUCAUGCCCGGCCUGGUCUGUUGGUCCCAGGAGAAGGACAAGAGAUACACGUGGAGCAGAGCUGCCCAGCUACCGUGUGCCGGCCGAGCCCAGCCUUGAGCUGACCCCCAGCCGACCUGCAGGUGCAUGAGUGCACCAGCCUGGAUCAGCCAACCUCCAGCUGCCCCCAAGACUAACGAGAUAUUCUAAGGCCGCUUGCUUUUCCUAAGAUGGCACCUGUGAUGGCUCCUCCAGACUAAUACAUAAUCUAACGGUCCUUUUAUAGUUGUGGUUUGUGGAAAACACUACUGCAGCCCCUGACUAGUCCUUCGAAACCUGUGAGCACGAGUUGUCUCAACUUCAGGCAUCUCAGUUUCCUUAUCUGGGAAACGAAGAUGAAGUUGGCUGUCCCAGAGCGGUGGUGAAAAUCAAACGUGGGGACGUGCGUGGGGCGUUGCAUGGCAGGAUUCCUUGGUGAUAUCUGGUGAAUAAUUACAACACAGAGCCAGUGAAGACCACGGCCUCGGGAAUCCGAUUUCCUGCACUUAAACCCUGUCUUCACCACCUGCGUGUCCCUGCGUAAGUGACUUACCCUAUCUCAGGCUUGGUUCCUCGUCCCUGCAAUGGGGGUGGUCCCAGCGUCCACCUCACACGACCGCCCUGGAGCUUAAAUGAGGUUGUGCCAGCAGAGCCUGGCCCAAGGCUGGCACAGGCCAUGACCUCAAUAACCAGGAGCUAUGACUCGGCUUGUUUAAACCUCAGCACCCACAGAGGCACUUCCAGAAACACCAGAGGAGGGCCAGCACGUGAUCUUGGACUUGUCUGGGAAGGAUAAUGUGCGUAUUGAGGACAAGCAGACUUUACUUGCAGACUCAAAUGGGACACCCUACUUGAGCUAGACUAGGGCGGGUUUAGGGAGACCCCCGAAAACAAGUCAUACCCACAUGGGUCACAUAGACUGCUCCCUCUCUCCUGGCCUGUGGUGUCGGCUGAGCCCAGUGAGUUAGAAAAGCAGAGAACAUCUAGUUCUAAGAAUCAGAAUACCUACGAAAAGAUCAGUCGAGCCGCAAAAUAUUAUCUUAAAAUUAAAAUAUAAGUCAGUGGGAAAUUAAUUUCACCAAAUGUUCCAGACCAUUUCGGAUGUCAAACAGGGGGCAUCCCGGGCACGUUCUAAAGCAGUGGUUUCCAAAGCAGGAUCCUUGAUCCUGCAGCAAAUUUGCAGGUCCCACCACAAUCCUACGGAAUCAGAAAUUCUGGGCAGGGCAUCAGCCUUCGUGUUUCAAUGAGCAGCGGGGCAUCUGGAUACAUGCUCCUUCGAGAAUCACAGCCCUUAUGGGAAGAAGUGGAUGCAGCUGACAGACAUGUCUGUCUGUGUCCUGGGAGCUCAGACCUCCCGCGUCAUACACACCCCCUGCUCUCCCUCCUCCCUUGUCACACUUACAAACUAUCUUCUCUUCUUCAAAACUGAUCACCAGCCAGUGGAAGGUGUCCGUUUCUACAUCCAGUCUCUAGGACAAAAGCAGAUUUGCCAGGAGUUG
ensembl:lncRNA